UAAGGGAUAUAAUUUGUGGAAAUGACUACAAUAAGACAGACUAGUUCCGUUUCAUACAGCAGCCAAAGUGCACAGGUUGUGGACAUGUUUAGCCCAUAUCUCAGCUUGAUUAAAAAAAAAGUAAAAGAAAGAUGACUGGUUAGAGAGCUGAGAAAGGUGAUCCUGUGACCUACCACCUGCAGGAAGAGCACUACUGGUGCAGAACCAUCCCCUUGCUUUUGACAUCUCACCAAAUCACCAUUUGGAGCUCAGUCCUACAGCACUGCAUCAAUAGCCAAACCUGAAGUCAAGGCACCAGAUCAUAGCUGAUAGAUAACCUCUGAACCUCCCUUCAUCAAUGAUAUAGCUUAGGUCUCAGGUGCCUAAAAUUUAGUUUGACGAAUCUGGAGCCUAGCCCCUUGCCUAAGGCAUUGCUUCCUUGGAAAAAGUCACCACCAUCUCUACCCAGUUUCCCUCCCCACAAAGAGCAGGCCAAAAGCACAGUGGCAGCUUCAAUCCAAGAGCAUGCCCAUGGGUUGCAGAAGAUUAUUUGUAUGAAUGCUGAAUGAAAGCCAUCCACAUAAAGAAGAGCCUCUGUGCUUCUGGAAUCCAGCAAACCUCUAGCGAUGGCCACAGAUCAACGCGCUUUCUGCAAAGCUACCUGCAGGUGUCAAGCUCAUGCCUGAGCUCUGCAGCAGCAACACCUUGAGUCACAACAUUCCUGUGCCCUGCAAACCUCUGGCACGCUACUCUGCUACAUCUUUUUUUGCCUGAGUCUUCCUCUGAGCUCUUAGGGGCAGAACAGAGUCCAAAACAUAAUUGUGCAAAGUUGCAAGAACAGCAUUGAAAACUGCCUGGGGAACAAAAGCUGGAACUGUACGUGGAAGACAGAAUGAAGUCAUCGGCAAUUGUAUACCGAAAGCACCUGGAUUUUAUCAUUCUGACCUGGAGAUACACUCACGUUGGUUCUGGCCAGAAAUCCACCAGUCAGGGAGGGCUGGGCUUCAGGAUCAGUCCCCUGUAUAUUAGGUCUGUGCUGCUGCUCAUUUCACGUUCAUAUCCCGCGUUAGACACCCUGCGCUGCGCAGAGGCUGCGUUACAUUAUCCUGCUGGUCCCUCCUGCUCCCCCCUCCUACAGCUCGGACCAAAAUUGUCUGCCUUACUUGGAAUUCAUUUCAAAAACAGAUUCAUGUGGCGCCUGCUAUUCCCCAAUAAACAAAUAAAUUAGCUGCUGUGAUAUGGAAAUUUGCAUGAUUCACUGUACUUAAAAACUGUUAGCUGUGAACUUAUUAAUUGAAAACCACAGGACGAUAAUAAGUGUGUCCUUCAGUCUGAACAUGAGUCCCUUGUUAUAAUGAAUUUGUAAAGCAAUAAA